rnacentral:misc_RNA from 1 species
CGCACAUUGCGCCCCUCGGUACUCCGGGGGGCAUGCCUGUUCGAGCGUCAUUUCACACCCCUCAAGCCUCGCUUGGUGAUGGGCCUCGCCCCCGGGGCGUGCCCGAAAGGCAUCGGCGGUCCGGCGCGGACUCGAAGCGUAGUCAAUCUUCCCGCUUCGGAGCGAGCGCCCGGGCUGGCCGUCAACCCUUAUGCUCCGACAAACUGACCUCGGAUCAGGCAGGGAUACCCGCUGAACUUAA